AGAGUUUGAUCCUGGCUCAGAUUGAACGCUGGCGGCAGGCCUAACACAUGCAAGUCGAGCGGAUGAAGGGGGCUUGCUCCUGGAUUCAGCGGCGGACGGGUGAGUAAUGCCUAGGAAUCUGCCUGGUAGUGGGGGAUAACGUCCGGAAACGGGCGCUAAUACCGCAUACGUCCUGAGGGAGAAAGUGGGGGAUCUUCGGACCUCACGCUAUCAGAUGAGCCUAGGUCGGAUUAGCUAGUUGGUGGGGUAAAGGCCUACCAAGGCGACGAUCCGUAACUGGUCUGAGAGGAUGAUCAGUCACACUGGAACUGAGACACGGUCCAGACUCCUACGGGAGGCAGCAGUGGGGAAUAUUGGACAAUGGGCGAAAGCCUGAUCCAGCCAUGCCGCGUGUGUGAAGAAGGUCUUCGGAUUGUAAAGCACUUUAAGUUGGGAGGAAGGGCAGUAAGUUAAUACCUUGCUGUUUGACGUACCAACAGAUAGACGAGGCCC
rnacentral:rRNA from 1 species